GAAUAAAUUGUUGUUUCUUUUGUUCCUCAAAGGAGGGGUAAGGAUGAGGAAGAGAGUAGAAAGUCCCGGACAUGGCAGAGGGGGUGGCUCACCAUAGACCUGCAUGUGUCCGUAGCCCACCUCCGUCUGAAACUGCCUGUUCAGAGUUUGCAGGAUGUAGGUGCCUGUGUGCCCAGGUAGGGCACCAUGGAUAUCAAGGCUGCCAUCGGGACGCACAGCUUCCCGCCCUGUGUGGGCUGGUCCAGGGGUCUCAUCACCAGUGCUGACAAUGUAACUGGCCACCAGGAAGGUUGAGCAGGCUCGGGGGUGAUGGAGAUCUCAGCCCCGGCGUUCAGGAUCCAGGCUGAGAAAGAACAGAAGGGGCAGAAUUGACUUGUCGCCUCAUUUGACAAGAGGUGAAAAGCUCAGAGGGUGACAUCCCCAGUGUCUACAAGGUCAGACAAAAUCAAGAGUUGUGCCUCCUUUACCCACACUUCCCCUGGGAUAAAACCUAGAACCUUACCCAUACUAGGCUCACUCGAGGCUCUUGCUGGAGGAUUCUAGGCAGGGGCUCUACCACUGAGCCACGCCCCCAGCCCCUCAUUGGGGGAUUCUAGGCAGGGGCUCUACCACUGAGCCACGCCCCCAGCCCCUCAUUGGGGGAUUCUAGGCAGGGGCUCUACCACUGAGCCACGCCCCCAGCCCCUCAUUGGGGGAUUCUAGGCAGGGGCUCUACCACUGAGACGCACCCCCAGCCCCUCACUGGGGGAUUCUAGGCAGGGGCUCUACCACUGAGCCACGCCCCCAGCCCCUCAUUGGGGGAUUCUAAGCAGGGGCUCUACCACUGAGCCACACCCCCAGCCCCUCACUGGGGGAUUCUAGGCAGGAGCUCUACCACUGAGCCACGCC